rnacentral:tRNA from 1 species
ACCCCUGAAGCUCAGUUGGUAGAGCGCUCCACCUGUAAUGGAGAGUACGGGUUCGAUAGCCGGACCAGGCGGA